rnacentral:lncRNA from 1 species
GCCAUUUGUUCAUUGUUAGCAUAUAUAAAUAUUACCAGUUUUUGUAGGUUGGUUUUGUAUUCUGCAAACUUUACUGAAUUCAUUUAUCGGUUUUAACAGUUGUUUGGUGGAAUCUAGAUAUAAAAUAUAAAAUCAUGUCUACUACCACCAAGGCUAAUUUGACUUCUUCCUUUCCAGUCUGGAAGCCCUUUAUUUCUUUCUCUUGCCUAAUUGUUCUGACCAGGGUUUCCAGUAUUAUAUUGAAUAAAUGUCGCAAAAGUGGAAAUCAUUGUGUUUUUCAGGUUUGGGAGAAACAGACUUCAAUUUCCUCCAUUCAAUCGAUCCUUAGCUGUGGAUUUGUCAUCUACGACCUUUGUUGUUUUGAGAUUUUAGGGCAUGAAAACCUUCAAGGAAUGUGCUGAAUCAUCUGACUCAUAAAGCUCUAAAGAGGUAGAGGGGAGUAAAAUGUAAGGAACCUCCACUGACUGUGGUAAGUGAUUCACUAGAUGUCUAGUACUGUAAUAACUAACAAGAGAGGAAUAUUUGCCAUUUUGAAAUCAUACUUUUCUAUUACUUAAAAAUUAAUUAUUUUUUGUCAAAGGCAUUUAAUAAAAUUCAGUCUGUUGGAAGUAUAUUUGUAGUUCCUAAUGUGUGAACUCCAAUUAUCUGCUAAAAGAGAGCCAGAAAAUUAUUUCAGAUUUAAUUUGGAAUUGUCUACAGUGCUACAGAGCAUCACAUAAACAUUGUUCUUCCUUGCUGACUUCUGAUGCUCCCUUUGUAAAUCAUAGCUUCCCAACUUACAUGCUCAGCACAUAGAGAUUCCAUAGAUGGUAUUCAGGUAUGUCAUGAGACAAGAAUGCCUCCUUAAAUCUCUACAACCAUAUUGAGGUUGGUUCCAGAAUAAAGGAAACAUGGUUCGUAAUAAUCAGGUAGUGCCGCACCGCUGCAACAUUGGGUGCAUGGCCAAGGAGAAGCUGUACUAUUCUACCACUAUUUCAGCAGCUGGCAGCACAGUCCUACAACCCAUAUAGUCAUAACUAUCAUGAAACUGCUUGGGUGAGUUCAUGGUUCUCAUGUCCAAGGUCCCUGGUUCUCAGCCAGAAAGGAAUAGGUAUACUGACUUGCAACUACGAAAAUAAGUUGAUCUAAUGUCUCCAAAAUUCCUCUGAACAUUCUUCAGAAUAAUAUGCCACAAUUUCAUUUUCAUUGCAUUGAAUUCUUUUAAGAUGUUCUGUCAAUGUUAUUUAAG